GAGAUUACUAAAAAGAAUUUCUAAUUCUAUUAAAAUGUAAGACAUUUAAUCUCU
rnacentral:tRNA from 1 species